rnacentral:rRNA from 1 species
ACUCCUACGGGAGGCAGCAGUAGGGAAUCUUCCACAAUGGACGAAAGUCUGAUGGAGCAACGCCGCGUGAGUGAUGAAGGGUUUCGGCUCGUAAAACUCUGUUGUUGGAGAAGAACAGGUGUCAGAGUAACUGUUGACAUCUUGACGGUAUCCAACCAGAAAGCCACGGCUAACUACGUGCCAGCAGCCGCGGUAAUACGUAGGUGGCAAGCGUUGUCCGGAUUUAUUGGGCGUAAAGCGAGCGCAGGCGGUUUCUUAGGUCUGAUGUGAAAGCCUUCGGCUUAACCGGAGAAGUGCAUCGGAAACCAGGAGACUUGAGUGCAGAAGAGGACAGUGGAACUCCAUGUGUAGCGGUGAAAUGCGUAGAUAUAUGGAAGAACACCAGUGGCGAAGGCGGCUGUCUGGUCUGUAACUGACGCUGAGGCUCGAAAGCAUGGGUAGCGAACAGGAUUAGAUACCCUGGUAGUC